GGGGACGUAGUUCAAUUGGGAGAACGCAUGCUUUGCAUGCAUGAAGUUGUUGGUUCGAGUCCAAUCGUCUCCA
rnacentral:tRNA from 1 species